ensembl:lncRNA
GUUGGCGCAGCGGGUAAAGAAUCUGCCUGCAAUGCAGGAGACACAGAAGCUUAAUGUCAGCUGAGACUUUCUCUGCUACUUUACUGGAACUCAUCCUAAUAGGCAGGUGGAUGCUUCUAGAGAAGAACCAAGAUUUAUUCCAAGGAAGGCAAAAACAAGAUCAUGGCUUCUCUGGUGGCUCAGUGGUAAAGAGUCUGCCUUCUAAGGCAGGAGACACAGGUUCGAUCCCUGGUCUGGGAAGAUCCCACAUGCCGCGGAGCAGCUAAGCCCGUGUGCCACAGCUACUGAGCCUGUGCUCCACAUCAGCGGAAGACACCACACUGAGAAGCCCAAGCGCCACAGCUAGAGGGUAGCCCCUGCUCGCCACAGCUAGAGACAAGCCUGAGCAGUAACGAAGACCCAGCAAAGCCAAAAAGAGAUACAUAAGAUUAUAAAAUAAAUAAAUAAAUGUUAUCUCACUUGAAC